AUGUUGUCCAGAGGCUGGUUGCUUUUAGUCCAAGUAAUGCCUCCCACACCUCGGAUUUCAGCCAGGCUGUGCCAGGGAGGGCAGAGGGCACCCCGGACAAAAGGACCCUGCCUUGGUGUGAGAGUGAGGGCAGAGGGAGCUGGAGCAAGUAGAAUUUCUCUAAAUACCAGCUGGCUGGGGCCCAGGAGAUAAAAAACACCGGGCUAGGUUGGUCUUGGCAUUUGCUGACACGCAAAGGGAUUGCAGAGAUCCAGCCCCUCCAACCUCCCUCUGUCCACAGGUGGCUCCCAUUCAGUCCCACAAUUUGCUUUCUCCUCCUCAAGGGUUAAGAAAAAAAACAAACCCUUCCAGUCUGAUCAGUGACUGGAGAGCUCCAAGGAAAGUCUCUCAGUGACCUGGCUGCUGGCACCAUGGACUCAGAAAAGAAACGCUUUACUGAAGAGGCCACCAAAUACUUCCGGGACAGAGUCAGCCCA
rnacentral:sRNA from 1 species